UACGGGGGAGCAAGCGUUGUUCGGAUUUACUGGGCGUAAAGGGCGCGUAGGCGGCGUGACAAGUCACUUGUGAAAUCUCCGGGCUUAACUGGGGAGGGUCACGCGAUACUGAUCGACUCGAAGGCAGGAGAGGGAAGUGGAAUUCCCGGUGUAGUGGUGAAAUUCGUAGAUAUCGGGAGGAACACCAGUGGCGAAGGCGGCGAUCUGGGAAGAUACUGACGCUGAGGUGACGAAAGCGUGGGGAGCAAACAGG
rnacentral:rRNA from 1 species